AUAUCAACAAAACCAGCAAUAUAACUAAACUCAUAUAUCAACAACUUAACAUAGAUUAGCUCAGAUAAUAAUAACCUCAACAAUAUAACAUCAAAUUAGAUAUCAAUAAACCAAUAACUAAAAUCCAACAACAUAGGGUCAGAUGUUAGUUCCCUAUAAUGCAACUAUAUGCUUCUACCAAAAUGGAUCGAUCAAUAACGUCUCACAAGACGGGACAAUCACGCGGGACCACACCCACCUCAUCGCCACUUAGCGCCACUAUGGACUGGACAAUCGCGUGGGACCACACCCACCUCAUCGCUACUUUAGAACAUCUCGAAAGAUGGGACAAUCCCGUGGGACCACACCCACCUCAUUGCCACUUUAUAACGUCUCGAAAGACAGGACAAUCACGCGGGACCACACCCACCUCAUUGUCACUUUCCCUAUAUGCCAAGUCAGUCAACAACAAUUUUCAAACCAAUAAUCAACUCAGAAUAACCACAUGUUAUUCAUAAUUUCAGCAAUAAUCAAUGGCCGAAGCC
rnacentral:lncRNA from 1 species